rnacentral:rRNA from 1 species
AGAGUUUGAUCCUGGCUCAGGAUGAACGCUAGCUACAGGCUUAACACAUGCAAGUCGAGGGGAAACGAUAUUGGAAGCUUGCUUCCGAUAGGCGUCGACCGGCGCACGGGUGAGUAACGCGUAUCCAACCUGCCCACCACUUGGGGAUAACCUUGCGAAAGUAAGACUAAUACCCAAUGACGUCUCUAGAAGACAUCUGAAGGAGAUUAAAGAUUUAUCGGUGAUGGAUGGGGAUGCGUCUGAUUAGCUUGUUGGCGGGGUAACGGCCCACCAAGGCAACGAUCAGUAGGGGUUCUGAGAGGAAGGUCCCCCACAUUGGAACUGAGACACGGUCCAAACUCCUACGGGAGGCAGCAGUGAGGAAUAUUGGUCAAUGGGCGAGAGCCUGAACCAGCCAAGUAGCGUGCAGGAAGACGGCCCUGUGGGUUGUAAACUGCUUUUAUAAGGGAAUAAAGUUAGUCUCGUGAGACUUUUUGCAUGUACCUUAUGAAUAAGGACCGGCUAAUUCCGUGCCAGCAGCCGCGGUAAUACGGAAGGUCCGGGCGUUAUCCGGAUUUAUUGGGUUUAAAGGGAGCGUAGGCCGGAGAUUAAGCGUGUUGUGAAAUGUAGACGCUCAACGUCUGCACUGCAGCGCGAACUGGUUUCCUUGAGUACGCACAAAGUGGGCGGAAUUCGUGGUGUAGCGGUGAAAUGCUUAGAUAUCACGAAGAACUCCGAUUGCGAAGGCAGCUCACUGGAGCGCAACUGACGCUGAAGCUCGAAAGUGCGGGUAUCGAACAGGAUUAGAUACCCUGGUAGUCCGCACGGUAAACGAUGGAUGCCCGCUGUUGGUCUGAACAGGUCAGCGGCCAAGCGAAAGCAUUAAGCAUCCCACCUGGGGAGUACGCCGGCAACGGUGAAACUCAAAGGAAUUGACGGGGGCCCGCACAAGCGGAGGAACAUGUGGUUUAAUUCGAUGAUACGCGAGGAACCUUACCCGGGCUUGAAUUGCAGAGGAAGGAUUUGGAGACAAUGACGCCCUUCGGGGUCUCUGUGAAGGUGCUGCAUGGUUGUCGUCAGCUCGUGCCGUGAGGUGUCGGCUUAAGUGCCAUAACGAGCGCAACCCCUCUCCUUAGUUGCCAUCAGGUUAAGCUGGGCACUCUGGGGACACUGCCACCGUAAGGUGUGAGGAAGGUGGGGAUGACGUCAAAUCAGCACGGCCCUUAC